AUUGAACGCUGGCGGCAUGCUUUACACAUGCAAGUCGAACGGUAACAGGCCUUCGGGUGCUGACGAGUGGCGAACGGGUGAGUAAUGCAUCGGAACGUACCCAGAGGUGGGGGAUAACGCAGCGAAAGCUGUGCUAAUACCGCAUGUGAUCUGAGGAUGAAAGCGGGGGACCGAGCAGCAAUGUUUGGCCUCGCGCCUUUGGAGCGGCCGAUGUCGGAUUAGCUAGUUGGUGGGGUAAAGGCCUACCAAGGCGACGAUCCGUAGCUGGUCUGAGAGGACGACCCGCCCCACGGGGCCUGAGACCCGCCCCAGCCUCCUACGGGAGGCAGCAGUGGGGAAUUUUGGACAAGGGGCGGAAGCCUGCCCCACCACUGCCGGGGGGGGGAAGAAGGCCUUCGGUUUGUAACCCGUUUUUGGCAGGAACAAAACGGUGCCCGCUAACACCGGGCGCUAAUGCCGGUACCUGCAGAAUAAGCCCCGGCUAACUACGU
rnacentral:rRNA from 1 species